rnacentral:rRNA from 1 species
AGUGAACGCUGGCGGUAGGCCUAACACAUGCAAGUCGAACGGCAGCACAGUAAGAGCUUGCUCUUACGGGUGGCGAGUGGCGGACGGGUGAGGAAUACAUCGGAAUCUACUUUUUCGUGGGGGUUAACGUAGGGAAACUUACGCUAAUACCGCAUACGACCUACGGGGGAAAGCAGGGGAUCUUCGGACCUUGCGGGAUUGAAUGAGCCGCUGUCGGAUUAGCUAGUUGGGGGGGUAAGUGCCCACCAAGGCGACGAUCCGGGGCUGGUCGGAGAGGAUGAUCAGCCACACUGGAACGGAGACACGCUCCAGACUCCUACGGGAGGCAGCAGUGGGGAAUAUUGGACAAUGGGCGCAAGCCUGAUCCAGCCAUACCGCGUGGGUGAAGAAGGCCUUCGGGUUGUAAAGCCCUUUUGUUGGGAAAGAAAAGCAGCAGGUUAAUACCCCGCUGUUCUGACGGUACCCAAAGAAUAAGCACCGGCUAACUUCGUG